GAUGAACGCUGGCGGCGUGCUUAAUACAUGCAAGUCGAGCGAACAGACGAGGAGUUUGCUCCGUUGACGUUAGCGGCGGAGGGGAGUGAAACACGUGGAUAAUCCACUUAUAAGACUGGGAUAACCUCGGGACACCGGCGCUAACACCGGAUAAUAUAUUGAUCCGCAUGGUUGAAUAGUGAAAGACGGUUUUGCUGUCACUUAUCGAUGGUUCCGCGCUGCAUUAGAUGGUUGGUAAGGUAACGGCUUAGCAAGGCAACGAUGCGUAGCCGACGUCCGAGGCUGAUAGGCGGCACGGGAGCUGGACCGCGGACCAGGCUCCUGCGGGAGGGAGCAGUAGGGAAUCGUCCGCAGUAGGCGGGAGCCUGACGGAGCGACGCCACGUGUGUGGUAGAGGUCUUGGGUGCGUAAUACUCUGUUAUUGGGGGAAAACCAAUGUGUAAGUAGCUGUGCACGUCGUGACGGUAACUGAUCAGAAAGCCACGGCUAACUACGUG
rnacentral:rRNA from 1 species